CCUACGGGUGGCAGCAGUGGGGACUAUUUGGCAAUGGGCGCAAGCCUGACCAAGCAACGCCGCGUGAAGGAAGAAGGCGGUCGGGUUGUCAACUUCUUUUAAGGGGGAAGAGCAGAAGACGGUACCCCUUGAAUAAGCCAUGGCUAAAUACGUGCUAGCAGCCGCGGUAAUAAGUAGGUGGCAAGCGUUGUCCGGAUGUACUGUGUGUAAAGGUCGUGCAGCCGGAGAGACAAGUCAGAUGUGAAAUCCACGGGCUCAAACCGUGAACUGCAUUUGACACUGUUUCCCUUGGGUGUCGGAGAGGUAAUCGGAAUUCCUUGUGGAGCGGUGAAAUGCGUAGAUAUAAGGAAGAACACCAGUGGCGAAGGCGGAUUACUGGACGAUAACUGACGGUGAGGCGCGAAAGCGUGGGGAGCAAACAGGAUUAGAUACCCGGGUAGUC
rnacentral:rRNA from 1 species